UUCUCCUGUGAUAUUGUUUUGUAAGUGUUGUUGAAAUAUUAACCCCAGUCCCUGUUAUUGACACUGUUGUUUCAUCUGUUUAUGUCCUCUUUAUUCCUCGACUUGAUGCAGGCUGGGGAAGAAUAAGUUCAGUCCGACCGAGAAGAAGGAACUGAGGUCGGUGCAAGAACCCAAACCCAGACUGAGAGUGGACGUGUGAACAUCUCGGGGUGUAAACGUCACCGCCCUGGGGACCGGAAUAUUGUUGGCCGAUUCCCCGCCCUCCCCUUUAAACGGCCGCCCUCCCCUUUAAACGGCCGCCCACCCCU